UGACGUUUAGGAGUGACAUUGUUUGAGGGGUCUUUUUUUUUUUUUCUAACUUGUUUCCGGUUUGACUGAGAGUCUUUGGAGCCGCAGCACUACCGACCGGAAGUCGCUUUCUAGUUGGUAGAUAACGCGCAGGGUUCGGGUCUGAGGUGGCUCGAAGAACUUUGAUGGUGGUAUAGUCUUCAGUUUUCCAGAUGUGUUGCUGUCUUAUGGAGUAGAAGGGAGAGGCCUUGAGGUGAUGGCUGGAACAUGAAGAACUUAAUCAUCAGAUUUUGGAAGCAUGGCAGUGUCCAAGCAGACAUGGUGCUGGAGGAGCCAAGAGUUGUACAUCUUGAUCCAACAGAAGGAGUCUGGGUGCCACACUCAGAUGCAGUGAAUGCAGGUCCAGCUGCCUAAACCUCCUGAGGUGGACCCCCUCACUCUGAUAGACGGGGCCCGGGAAGUGCUGGUCAAACAGGAAAUGUCGGUCAAACAAGCCCCUUUAGCUUUUGUCACACAGUGAGAAUUGUGUUCUGUAGUCUCCAAAUACUUUCCAAGGCAAGUCUGCUGGCUCAAGCAUGUGCCCCCACCUACACUGAAUCCUUUGUUUUAUUUCUACUGGGACAAGCAGGCAGAAGAGUUGCCAUGAAUCUUAGGCCAACAUGGGAUGCAGUACAAGACCCUGUUUUUAAAAAAACUUCAUAUUCCUAAUUUUGGGUUUUAAGAAACAACAGAAGUAUAUAUUUCAUUAGCAUGUUAUGGAGCUCAAUGUAGCACCAACGUUUAAUAAAUUAGGAUACAGAUUAUAUGCUAUGUGACUUCAAGGACUAUAUAGCUUACUUUUAUUAAGAGCGACUUGGUACAAUAUGUUUGGAGGUUCUUGCAGCUUGUGUUGUUUUUAUAUGACUCCUGCAGUAAUAUUGAAAUAAAAGGAUAUAAUGGAUACAC